rnacentral:rRNA from 1 species
GCACAAGCGGUGGAGCAUGUGGUUCAAUUCGAAGCAACGCGAAGAACCUUACCAGCCUUUGACAUCCCGGUCGCGAGCACCAGAGAUGGAGCUCUUCAGUUCGGCUGGACCGGAGACAGGUGCUGCAUGGCUGUCGUCAGCUCGUGUCGUGAGAUGUUGGGUUAAGUCCCGCAACGAGCGCAACCCUCGCCCUUAGUUGCCAUCAUUCAGUUGGGCACUCCAGGGGGACUGCCGGUGAUAAGCCGGAGGAAGGUGGGGAUGACGUCAAGUCCUCAUGGCCCUUACAGGCUGGGCUACACACGUGCUACAAUGGCGGUGACAACGGGAGGCGAAGGGGCGACCCUUAGCAAAUCUCGAAAAGCCGUCUCAGUUCGGAUUGCACUCUGCAACUCGAGUGCAUGAAGUUGGAAUCGCUAGUAAUCGCGGAUCAGCACGCCGCGGUGAAUACGUUCCCGGGC